rnacentral:lncRNA from 1 species
ACCUUCCAGAUUUCCUUGUGUUCAGCUUUCAGCCGCUAAAACUCUCUAAGCCCUCAGUUUUUCAGCCAUCCCCUCAGCCUUCCUCCGGCCUUUCUUUUCUUUCUUUUCUUUCUUUUCCCAGAUUUUCAGCCGCCAUCUUCACCUCUCUGAUUUCUCUCUUAGCCGCCAACUCUCCCUGCAUGCUCUCCUUGGUUUCCUUUCUAUCCACCGCCGCCGACCUCUCAUCCUAGCCGUCUUCCUUUUUCCUGUCUUUUUCUUUCCCUCUAGCCCCCAAAACCUUUGCUGACCUCUCUUUGUCUUUCUCCCCCCCAGACUC